rnacentral:misc_RNA from 1 species
CGCACAUUGCGCCCUUUGGUAUUCCGAAGGGCAUGCCUGUUCGAGCGUCAUUAUCACCCCUCAAGCUCCGUGCUUGGUGUUGGACGGUCGGUCGAAGGGUUUUUCCCCGCGACCCCUCCUAAAGACAACGACGGCGGCCUGUGGUUCCCCCGGUACACUGAGCUUUUUACCGAGCACGUACCGGACGAGGGCGCCCAGGACCCGGUCUUCUCCUCUCGCGAGGAACUAUUUUAUCAAGGUUGACCUCGGAUCAGGUAGGAAUACGCGCUGAACUUAA